AUUGUACGCUGGCGGCAGGCCUAACACAUGCAAGUCGAACGAGUGGCGGACGGGUGAGUAAUGUCUGGGAAACUGCCCGAUGGAGGGGGAUAACGACUGGAAACGGUAGCUAAUACCGCAUACCAUCGGAUGUGCCCAGAUGGGAUUAGCUAGUUGGUGGGGUAACGGCUCACCAAGGCGACGAUCCCUAACUGGUCUGAGAGGAUGACAAGACACACUGGAAAUGAGACACGGUCCAGACUCUUACGGGAGGCAGCAGUGGGGAAUAUUGCACAAUGGGCGCAAGCCUGAUGCAGCCAUGCCGCGUGUAUGAAGAAGGUCUGCGGGUUGUAAAGUACUUUCAGGUAGGAGGCGUUACUCGCAGAAUAAGCACCGGCUAACUCCGUGCCAGCAGCCGCGGUAAUAC
rnacentral:rRNA from 1 species